ACACGACUACAUUAGAUACCCCUGUAGUCCUAGCCGUAAACGAUACUCGCUAGGUGUCGGCCACGGUGCGACCGUUGUCGGUGCCGUAGGGAAGCCGUGAAGCGAGCCACCUGGGAGGUACGGCCGCAAGGCUGAAACUUAAAGGAAUUGGCGGGGGAGCACAACAACGGGUGGAGCUUGCGGUUUAAUUGGAUUCAACGCCGGAAAUCUUACCGGGACCGACAGCAACAUGAAGGCCUAGCUGAAGACUUUGCCGGAUUAGCUG
rnacentral:rRNA from 1 species